UUACAGAUGAGGACAUGGGCCCAGAGAGGUUAUGUGAGUGACACAGCUUGAAGGUGGAGUUAAGCCUGGGCAGUCUGGCUUCAGAGUGUCCACAGUCUCAACCACUGCCUCACAUGGCUUCUUAGAAAAUAUUAUAAAAAGAAGCUCGGGCUGCCAUGUGGAAAAGAAUGGAGAGGGGACAAUGACACAGCUGGGAGCAUGCUGUGAUGGUGUACAGCGGACACAUUCAGGAUGAGGUGAAACAGGCUGGCCCUGGUGAGAGGCUAGAUGGGGCUGGGAUGAGGGUGGAGACAAGUAGUCUUGGGGUUGGCUUGGUGCAGCUGGGGGGUGCGGGGAGUGUCUCUGAGGUGAGGCCGGGGGUAUGGGAACGCCAUGUUUGGUCUGGGACACGGUGGGCUUGGGAUGGCUACAGGACAGUGCAGUGGAGAGUCAAAAAGGCUGCUCGGACCCAGGUCUGGCGAGAUGGAAGCUGGAGGUCAGGUGAGCUGUCUAGGAGAGGGACAGAGUGGGAAGGAGAGGGUCUCGACUCGGCUUUCUUGCCAAAGGAGGGUUCCGAAAUGAGAAACUGUGGAAUCUAAGCUGGAGAGGAAGAAAGACGGAGAAUGAGUGAACGCACACGUGUGGGACAGAUAGAUGAAUAUUCAUGUCUUUGGCUCCUAUGUACCUGAGUCUUCUAAAGCUGCAGGCCAUACUACCCCCGGGAGGCUGCAGGGAUGCCAGCUGGGAGAUGAAUGCAACUCUGCUGCCUGGGCAUGGGCCUGAGUGAGGGUGCAGACCCCUGCCUGUGAUCAUCAGGGAGGGUGAUGAGAACAAGGUGGCUGACAGGGUGAGGCCCAAGCCUGGAGCUUACCCAGGUGCGGGGAUGGGAGGGUCAGAGACCUUUGGGGGGUCUUAGGGAGCUUCCCCAGCCCUAAAGGCACCGCAAGCUGCCACUUCACACUGACCUGGGCAUACGCAGCUGCAGGAUCCCUUGCUCGCUCUCUCACAAGCAAAUGUAGACUGCGCAACCAUCCUGACCACAGAUCCAGAAAGCCCAGGACAUAACAGAGCCGCAGUGCCUGCCCUGAUCCACGCGCACACAGAUCUAGCCCAGGAACAAGCCCAUCCACGGUGAGGAACUUGUGGCCCAGUGGCUGGAGCCUCUCACCUGAGCCCUCACUGCCUGAGGACCCCCAGCCUCUGGCCUCAUUUCCCACCCUUUGCCAGCCAGCCUUGGGGACAAAACAGGUCUGGAUCUAAUCCAAGGUCUGGACUCACCCUGACACCCUGUGAACUCAAGGCCUUCCCUACCUCACCCUGGGCCCAGAGCCCCUACCUGUAAAGUGGAAGUGGGAAUGGCCACCAGCCAGGCAGAAACCCUCACUUAGGGCCUCAUGGCCAGGCAUCAGGACAGUCAGGAGAGGGGCCGAGGUAAGCCACAGAGGCCCUGCCUGUCUUGGUAUCCCACCAUCGCCAGGAGGGGACUGCAUGGGCAUCACACCCCUCACAGAUGAACAAAGUGAGGCAGAGAAGGGCCUCAAGAUGAGUUAGGGGCGAGGCCCCAGCUCUGCUGCUGCCCCUUCCCUUAUCACCCCUGCAGCCUGGGAUGCGAGGGUGGCCAGUGACAGACCCCAAGGACUCUAGGCUAAGGUCUCCUUACCUGCGUUCUGUGGCCUGCUCCCCGCCUGCAUGCCGCCUCAUGGGGGUCCUCUGGCUGGCCCAGGAGCACGGUUGGCCCAGCAGAGCAGCUCAGUGUUAUGGGGAAGGGAGGCCCAGCCCACCACGCCGACCGCCUGGGGCCCUAUGUAUAUUUAAUGAUGUCUAUUAUUCCUGUUUUGUCUCUGGAAAGGAGUGAGCAGCUGACAGGGGAGCCACGAACAGCCUGGAGAGCUGAGCAUGGGCCUGCUCCACACUCCAGCGGGGCCCGAGGCCCCCGGGAACUCUACCCCUCCUGGCAGCCUCACAGAACCUGCUGCAUCCAUCUCAAAAGGCAUACCUCCUCCAGGAAGCCUUCCCCGCUGCUCAGAGGUCUUAAAUCCGGGGUCUGCACUCACAAACUGUGCAGCCUACACCAGCUUCUGGGGGACAGCAGAACACUGUGGGGGGCCUGGCACAGUCCCUGGCACACGGUAGGCACUCAUCGAGCCCCUGCCAGCCCCUCUACUCCUGACUUCUGAGGCAACAGGAAAUGACCCGCCACCUUGUUCUCACAGAGCCUCCCUGCCAGCCCAGAUGGUCACAAGGGCCUCCUGGGAUGCUGCCCACCUUGGCAGCCAGGCCCCUCCGGAGGGGCCAGUCUGGGCCUGACACCCCCGAACACCAACCCCCUGGGCAGAGCCUGCCUGUGCCUGGGUGAGGAACCCUGCAGUCUCCUUGCCACACAAGGCCUGGGUCUGCCUUGGGGCCCAGGCUGCACCCUCUCCGACCCCCAGGCCCAAUGUCUGACCUGUGCCCACCUGACUCAACCUGGCUACUGUUCAGCAAGUUUACAAAGUGUUCUCAGUCUGAACAGGAACCGUUUUCAAUCCUUUAUUUCAGAAAGGAGAGCCAGGAGAACUGGGGACUUAGAAAAUACAGAUCCUAAACUCAAAAGUCCCUGCCCCAGGCGUGCAGAGCCAGGGUCCUGGGGUUUUGUGCUGGGCAGGGGCUGCCCUGGGAGGGGGAAUACAGGGGGAGGCACUUUAGGACACCCCUUAGGCUGUGGAGGGUGUCAGCUGGGCCUUUGAAGCCACUAACCACUGGUUCCCAUCAUGGAGAGCCCUGUGUGGGGCACCCAAGGGGGUUUCCUCCUGGAAGGGCCCCCAACCCAAGUGUCAGAGAAGCUGGCAAGAGCUGAGGGAGUGAGGUGCCAUGACAGCAGCCACAGCCUCCAGGGACCCAAACAGGCCCAGCUACCAGCCUGGCACUGAGCAUGCCAUCUGCUUUAGGCCCUGGCUGGCGGGCAUGUGGGCAACUUGCUCCCUCAGUGCAGGGGGCUGGGAGGCACAGAUGCAGGCUCAGCACUACAAACUCAAAACCCCCAUGAGAGGGCUCAGUCUUAUGGGAAAUGCCUCCAACCGAGCCCCUUUGCCCCAACACACUCUUCGUCUGCCUACUGAAGAAACUUCUGUAAAUAGCAGAGACUUGAGGGACCCCUUCCUGGGGUACGUGU
rnacentral:lncRNA from 1 species